rnacentral:rRNA from 1 species
UACGUAGGGGGCAAGCGUUGUCCGGACUCAUUGGGCGUAAAGAGCGUGUAGGCGGCCAGGUAGGUCGGUUGUGAAAACUGGAGGCUCAACCUUCAGAGGUCGACCGAAACCAUCUGGCUAGAGUCCGGGAGAGGAGAGUGGAAUUCCUGGUGUAGCGGUGAAAUGCGCAGAUAUCAGGAAGAACACCCGUGGCGAAAGCGGCUCUCUGGAACGGUACUGACGCUGAGACGCGAAAGCGUGGGGAGCGAACAGG